UCCCUGUUGCCAGGGCAGUCUAGCUAGAGAAAUACAACUAACUAUAAGGGUUGCGCUCGUUGAAGGACUUAACCUAACAUCUCACGACACGAGCUGACGACGGCCAUGCAACACCUGUCACUUGGUUCCAAAUGGCACAGUAUCCUUUCGGAUGCUUUCCAAGGAUGUCAAGCCUGGGUAAGGUUCUUCGCUUACCAUCGAAUUAAACAACACGCUCCACCGCUUGUGCGGGUCCCCGUCAAUUCCUUUAUGUUUUAGUCUUGCGACCGUACUCCACAGGCGGGAUGCUUAACGCGUUAGCUUCGCUACUAUCGGGGUCGAUACCGAUAACAGCUAGCAUCCAUAGUUUACGGCGUGGACUAC
rnacentral:misc_RNA from 1 species